rnacentral:piRNA from 1 species
CCGUAGUGCCGCCCUUGGUC